UCAAGCAAAUAAGGGCGCACGGUGGAUGCCCUGGCACCAGAAGCCGAAGAAGGACGCGAUAAGCUGCGAUAAGCUGCGAGUAGCCGCAAAUAGGCUGUGAUUCGCAGAUUUCCGAAUGGGGAAACCUAAUGUGCAAACGCACAUUACUUUAAGCUGAAUAAAUAGGUUUAAAGGGGGAUACCUGGGGAACUGAAACAUCUAAGUACCCAGAGGAAGAGAAAGAAUAAUCGAUUUCCUAAGUAGCGGCGAGCGAACGGGAAAGAGCCCAAACCAAGCCCUUCGGGGAUUGGGGUUGAGGACAGACAGAAGUGUAAAGUAAAAUUUAAUUGAAGAGGUCUGGAAAGGCCCGCCAUAGAAUGUAACGGCCAUGUAAAUAAAAAGAAGAACUUUACCAGUCUGCUCCAGAGUACCACGAGACACGUGAAACCUUGUGGGAAGCAGGGAGGACCACCUCCCAAGGCUAAAUACUAACUGGUGACCGAUAGCGAAUAGUACCGUGAGGGAAAGGCGAAAAGAACCCCAGAAGGGGAGUGAAAUAGAACCUGAAACCGUGUGCUUACAAGCAGUCGGAGCUCGUUAAGGAGUGACGGCGUGCUUUUUGUAGAACGAGCCAGCGAGUUACGGUAUGCAGCGAGGUUAAGCACUUAAGGUGCGAAGCCGGAGGGAAACCGAGUCUGAAAAGGGCGCAAAGUUGUAUGCUGUAGACCCGAAACCGGGUGACCUAUCCAUGGACAGGAUGAAGUUGAGGUAAAACUCAAUGGAGGUCCGAACUAAAUUGGUGUUGAAAAACCAUGAGAUGAUCUGUGGAUAGCGGAGAAAUUCCAAUCGAACUCGGAGAUAGCUGGUUCUCCCCGAAAUAGCUUUAGGGCUAGCCUUGGAUGAUGAGCUUUGGAGGUAGAGCACUGAAUGGACUAGGGGCUGUAUAAGCUACCAAACCCUAUCAAACUCCGAAUGCCAAAGUUUUAAUCCAGGAGUCAGACUACGAGUGAUAAGAUCCGUGGUCAAAAGGGAAACAGCCCAGACCAUCAGCUAAGGUCCCAAAAUGCAGAUUAAGUGGUAAAGGAGGUGAGAUCUCAAAGACAACCAGGAUGUUGGCUUAGAAGCAGCCAUACAUUCAAAGAGUGCGUAAUAGCUCACUGGUCGAGAGGUCUUGCACCGAAGAUGUCCGGGGCUCAAAUCUGCUACCGAAGCUAUGGAUGUACGAAAGUACGUGGUAGGGGAGCAUCGUAUACGGAGCGAAGCCAUAUCGUAAGGAGUGGUGGACUGUAUACGAGAGAGAAUGCUGGCAUAAGUAACGAAAGAUAGGUGAGAAUCCUAUCCAUCGAAAACCUAAGGUUUCCUGAGGAAGGUUCGUCCACUCAGGGUUAGUCGGGACCUAAGUCGAGGCCGAAAGGCGUAGAUGAUGGACAAUCGGUUGAAAUUCCGAUACCACCUUUAAGCGUUUAAGAAAAGGGGUGACGCAGGAGGAUAAGCUGAGCGCACGGAUGGAAAAGUGCGUCUAAGAACUAAGUCAGACCUUCAAGGAAAAUCCGGGAGGUGACGAUAAGGUUUAAUGGGGAGCCGCAAGGCGAAGCAGCUGAAUUCACACUGCCAAGAAAAGCCUCUAUCGAGCAAGAAGGUGCCCGUACCGCAAACCGACACAGGUAGGUGAGGAGAGAAUCCUAAGAUGAGCGAGAGAACCCUUGUUAAGGAACUCGGCAAAUUAACCCCGUAACUUCGGGAGAAGGGGUACUCAAAAGAGUCGCAGUUAAAAGGCCCAAGCAACUGUUUAGCAAAAACACAGGUCUCUGCUAAGUCGCAAGACGAUGUAUAGGGGCUGACGCCUGCCCGGUGCUGGAAGGUUAAGGGGAGAGGUUAGCGAAAGCGAAGCUUUAAACUUAAGCCCCAGUAAACGGCGGCCGUAACUAUAACGGUCCUAAGGUAGCGAAAUUCCUUGUCGGGUAAGUUCCGACCCGCACGAAUGGCGUAAUGACUUGGGCACUGUCUCAACAAGGGACUCGGUGAAAUUGUAGUACCGGUGAAGAUGCCGGUUACCCGCGAUUAGACGGAAAGACCCCGUAGAGCUUUACUGUAGCUUAUCAUUGAGUUUCGGUAUUGUCUGUACAGGAUAGGUGGGAGGCUUAGAAGUAGGGGCGUCAGCUUCUAUGGAGCCAACGUUGGGAUACCACCCUGACAGUACUGAAACUCUAACCGGAGGCUUUGAAACAAGUCACGGGACAUUGUUAGGUGGGCAGUUUGACUGGGGCGGUCGCCUCCUAAAAAGUAACGGAGGCGCCCAAAGGUUCCCUCAGCGCGGUUGGAAAUCGCGCGCAGAGUGCAAAGGCAGAAGGGAGCCUGACUGCGAGACAAACAAGUCGAGCAGAGACGAAAGUCGGGCUUAGUGAUCCGGUGGUUCCGAGUGGAAGGGCCAUCGCUCAACGGAUAAAAGCUACCUCGGGGAUAACAGGCUGAUCUCCCCCAAGAGUCCACAUCGACGGGGAGGUUUGGCACCUCGAUGUCGGCUCGUCGCAUCCUGGGGCUGAAGUAGGUCCCAAGGGUUGGGCUGUUCGCCCAUUAAAGCGGUACGCGAGCUGGGUUCAGAACGUCGUGAGACAGUUCGGUCCCUAUCUGUCGCGGGCGUAGGAAAUUUGAAAGGAGCUGUCCUUAGUACGAGAGGACCGGGAUGGACAGACCUAUGGUGUACCAGUUGUCACGCCAGUGGCACCGCUGGGUAGCUAUGUCUGGAAGGGAUAAGCGCUGAAAGCAUCUAAGCACGAAGCCCACCUUAAGAUAAGAUUUCCCAUUAAGGUUCCUUAAAGAACAUGAGGUUGAUAGGUCGGAGGUGUAAGUACUGUGAGGUACUCAGCUGACCGAUACUAAUAGGCCGAGUGCUUGAUCAU
rnacentral:rRNA from 1 species